rnacentral:misc_RNA from 1 species
CCAGUCUUCAUUAGUUGACCCCAGGUCCUGUGAAACUGUUAAUCGUGUUUACCAUUGGUUGGUCCUGCAAGCAAUUCUCCUGCAUUUCUGAUCCGCUUAUUCUAGAAGCCUUAGCUUGUCGGGAAGCUUGUGUCAUUGCAAAAUCUAAAGAACUGUCGGAUAUUAUAAUAGAGGGAGACUCCCAGACGCUUAUCUCAGCUCCUCAUGGGAAGCCAGCCCCCAUCAAUUGUUCAUGACAAACUGAUCUUGUCCUCCAAUUUCAAUUAUGUCCAAUUCUCCUUUGUUAGAAGAUGCUCUAAUAGGGCGGCCCACUCUUUGGCCUCUAAAGCCCUGAAAGACUUUUCCUUUUUAUAUAAUCCUUGGGGACAAGUUUUAUUUGUAACUUCUGCUAUGCCUCCUUAGGCUUUCAAUGCAUUCUAUCUUGGAAAAAAAAACAUAAGAAUUCUUGACUAGUUAUAAAGAACUAUUUAUAAUAGUCCAGAAAUAGAGUUCAGAAAAAAUAUAAGUAUAAACGAGUUCUUUUACCUUUUGGUGAUAUUUUCGUUGUGCCUGUUGAUAACUUUUUCUUACUUGAUUCCAUUGGAACUAUUACAAGAAAAUCAAAACAUGGGUAAACUUCAUAAGUUUCAUCUCAAGAAUUUGAAUGCAAUAAUGGGAACUAUUGACCUACCUCCAAAUCAUUGAUAGCAUCAAAUAUCUCUUUCUUAUCAGCAAUAAGAUCUUCCAAUCUGAAGCAAUAAAGACCACAUAGUAAAGCUAGAAAAGAAGUAAAUAAUACAAAUUUAUUUUCAUCAAGUUCUAAAAAAACGCUUUCUUGAUACUUAUAGUUGUCUCGUUAGUCUUCCUUUAUGAUUAGAUUACUUCUGCAUCCCACUGGAGCAACCAUUAACUGCCAAAAACUUUGUAAAAAUAUAAUAGGGAAUUUUG